rnacentral:rRNA from 1 species
AAAAAAUUAUAGGUUGUAAUCAUUAAAAUUUAUUGAGUGUGAUCAUGGCUCGGGAUUAACGCUAAUUAGACGCCUAACACAUGCGAGUUUUAUAUGAGUUAAAUUAAAAUUUUAUUUAAACAUAUAGCGUCAAGGUGAGUAAUAUACAAAUAUAUGCCUUUAAGCCUACUUAAAUAGACGGUAACUUUAAAACAGUAACAAAUGUACUAUA